rnacentral:rRNA from 1 species
GCCCAGUGACAACUGUUUAACGGCCGCGGUAUCCUGACCGUGCAAAGGUAGCAUAAUCAUUUGUUCUCUAAAUAAGGACUUGUAUGAAUGGCCGCACGAGGGUUUUACUGUCUCUUACUUCCAAUCAGUGAAAUUGACCUUCCCGUGAAGAGGCGGGAAUGCACAAAUAAGACGAGAAGACCCUAUGGAGCUUUAACUAACCAACCCAAAGAGAAUAGAUUUAACCAUUAAGGAAUAACAACAAUCUCCAUGAGUUGGUAGUUUCGGUUGGGGUGACCUCGGAGAAUAAAAAAUCCUCCGAGCGAUUUUAAAGACUAGACCCACAAGUCAAAUCACUCUAUCGCUCAUUGAUCCAAAAACUUGAUCAACGGAACAAGUUACCCUAGGGAUAACAGCGCAAUCCUAUUCAAGAGUCCAUAUCGACAAUAGGGUUUACGACCUCGAUGUUGGAUCAGGACAUCCUGAUGGUGCAACCGCUAUCAAAGGUUCGUUUGUUCAACGAUUAAAGUCCUACGUGAUCGG